UUUACACAUGGUUUCCAAGUUUAAACAACCUUCUUCUCCCUCCUCUCUCCCUCCACCACGCCAGAGCUCAUCAUCGGCGGCAGUGGAGUAACAAUUCACAAAAUCAUUUAUGCCAAAAUGUUCCAAGGGAAGACACUCACCAGAGCAGACGUCAGAAUCCCAGGCGUGGAUUGAUGAUGAUGAAGCAAGGCUGCAAGUUCUUUGUAUGGAAAUGCAGGGCAUUGUUAGGCUGCAGCAGGCUUUCACAGGGUUUUUAUUUGGACUGCAGGGAAAGGCAAGUUUCAAUGCCAAGGUUUGUGUGCAAGCUGGUGUGAUGAUCUGAUGUAAUGCACGCCUAUGUAUGUUGCUGCAAGAUAUAUUCAUGUCAUGGUUUGGUUUGUGGUAUAUGGUUGCAAGGCUUGGUAAACUCAAGGCAUGGACAAAUGAGACCAACAAAGGCAUGACCAAAGGGAUGCAAAAUGGGAUUUCUUGCUCUUGAAGCAACAUGACGAUGGAAGUUCAUGGAAUCUAUGCAAGCAUAAAGAUGUAAUGAGUAUUAAGGUUUUAGGAAUGAAAAAAAUGAUAGUUGACUUUGGUCAACUAGUUGACAAGUCAACAGUUGACCAAAAGUUAACUUUUGUAAAAAAUGCAAUUUUUAUAUAUUUUUUUUGUAAUGGACAUUGUAUAUGGGUUAAAAAUGAGAAUAUAUGCAGGGAAAGACAUUGUUGGAUGA